AUUGAACGCUGGCGGCAUGCUUUACACAUGCAAGUCGAACGGUAACAGGGUGCUUGCACCGCUGACGAGUGGCGAACGGGUGAGUAAUGCGUCGGAACGUGCCGAGUAGUGGGGGAUAACGCAGCGAAAGUUGUGCUAAUACCGCAUACGUACUGAGGUAGAAAGUGGGGGGCCUUCGGGCCUCACGCUAUUCGAGCGGCCGACGUCUGAUUAGCUAGUAGGUGGGGUAAAGGCUCACCUAGGCGACGAUCAGUAGCGGGUCUGAGAGGAUGAUCCGCCACACUGGGACUGAGACACGGCCCAGACUCCUACGGGAGGCAGCAGUGGGGAAUUUUGGACAAUGGGCGAAAGCCUGAUCCAGCCAUGCCGCGUGUCUGAAGAAGGCCUUCGGGUUGUAAAGGACUUUUGUCAGGGAGGAAAUCCCUAGUGCUAAUAACACUGGGGGAUGACAGUACCUGAAGAAUAAGCACCGGCUAACUACGUGCCAGCAGCCGCGGUAA
rnacentral:rRNA from 1 species